CGAUAGUUCACGUUUAAUUUUACUUAUUCUUGUAAAAUCAAUUUGUAUACCGCCGUCAUAAGAUUAUCUUUUUAGAGAAUGAAUUUUCUUUAUAUUUGAGUAAAUAGAAUGUCAGGUCAAGGUGCAGUUUAUGGAUAAGGGGAGAUGGAUUACAAUAAAAUUCUUUAUACGAAUGAAAGAUGAAUUUAUUUAUUAAAGGUGGAU
rnacentral:rRNA from 1 species